rnacentral:rRNA from 1 species
UACGAAGGGGGCUAGCGUUGCUCGGAAUUACUGGGCGUAAAGCGCACGUAGGCGGAUUGUUAAGUCGGGGGUGAAAUCCUGGAGCUCAACUCCAGAACCGCCUUCGAUACUGGCGAUCUCGAGUUCGGGAGAGGUGAGUGGAACUGCGAGUGUAGAGGUGAAAUUCGUAGAUAUUCGCAAGAACACCAGUGGCGAAGGCGGCUCACUGGCCCGAUACUGACGCUGAGGCACGAAAGCGUGGGGAGCAAACAGG